UGCCAGCAGCCGCGGUAAUACAGAGGGUGCGAGCGUUAAUCGGAAUUACUGGGCGUAAAGCGUGCGUAGGCGGAUAGUUAAGUUAGAUGUGAAAUCCCCGGGCUCAACCUGGGAACUGCAUUUAAGACCGGCAGUCUAGAAUCUUGUAGAGGGAAGUGGAAUUUCCGGUGUAGCGGUGAAAUGCGUAGAUAUCGGAAGGAACACCAGUGGCGAAGGCGGCUUCCUGGACAAAGAUUGACGCUGAGGUACGAAAGCGUGGAGAGCAAACAGGAUUAGAUA
rnacentral:rRNA from 1 species